UCACCACUCCAUCCCCGUAAGACUCCUCUAAAGGGACACAUUUACAUUUUUACAGUCUCACUUUAAGAGUUCUAGUUUGGAACCGCAAUCUAUCAUGCUGGAGGGGGAAUUCACAUUAGUCCGACCAGUACGCGGGGGCCUUUCCCACCAAGGAGGCUGGGGAACCAGGCGCGCUGGGUGGGGGUGGCAGGACACUGAGAUGAAGGCUUAGAGCAAAGAAACACGAAUUCUGCAGAGAGAGUGAAGGAAUCCGGGAUAAGGGACGCAACGAGGGCAGGAAGCCUCCUGCUUUUCGUAUUUGCUGUUUCACUGCACCUGUUGCAGUAUUGAGAAAUUGGGAAGAUUACAGUGAGAAGCAUCAGCGUAAGAAACGCCUGCCAGAAGAUAUUAUUUCAGUGCUAAAGUUUCAGAAAGGGUACAAAACAACAACGAAGGUGCUAGUGUGGUAUCCCGACAUUAAAUUAAAGAUCUUCUCAGAAUGUCACAUUCUUUUGAGAAGCAGCUGA
rnacentral:lncRNA from 10 species